UAAAAGGCAUCUGGAAGCUGUCACUGUGGCGCGCGGGCGGACAGGGGAUCCCGUUGGAGGGGAAGAUCCGUAGUAGCCGCUGCUGCCUGCGGCCGACCCAACCGCCGCCUGCUUAGGAGGAAGAAAAAAAAACCGCCCCCGCUGAAGAAUUAAGGCAGCUAUUGGUUGCUCUAGAGCUUAAGGACCGAGGCCUCCCCUGGGUGUCACUGGAGCGGCCACACGUGGGGGAUCAGCCGACUUCAUUCGAUCGCUGGCGACAGACCCGGCGACCCGGAGGAAUGGGAGGAAUGCGCGCUGGGGCUGCGGCUGGAGGGCGCGGCGAUGGCACCAGGCGGGUGGCUCGAGAGGAUCAGACAGCAGCAGCACUGCCCAUGGACCAGAGGCCUCAUGUAAGGCCUGGGAAACGAGGGCUCCAGAACACCGCCAACCAGAUGUAAGGGCAGUUGCAAAGGAACUGUGAGUUAUCUUGACCAGAACACACUGUAGAAUUUGUUUAUCAAAUUUUUAUUUUUUACUUAUUUAUUUUGUGAAUGUAUAUGCUGUAAACUCAUCUGCUUAGACUAUAAGAAUGUGAAUGCCCUACCUUGCUGGGUAGGUUAGUUUAUUCUAAUCAGCAAAACUUAACGUUACAUAUUCCAACAUCUCAUUUGGGAUGUGAGGAUGCUAUGGGGAGGGUGGGUAUUCUGGCAUUGCUAGAAUGUUGGAGCCUUAGCGAGAGAAUGACAGAGUGGGGAGAACCUGGCACUUCAGCUGCAGAUGAUCACUUAUUAGCUUUGUUAUAUCAAAUAAGUUAAACUUUCUUCAUCUCAUUUUUUUUUUCUAUUGUAAAAUAGGGUAGUAACAGUGAGUCCUGGUGGAGGACAUGUUCUGUUAGCCAGACCCACUCUCCAACCUGCUGUCUGUCCUUUGGAGACUUAACUCAAGAGACUUUCUUUCCUUCUAGCUUCCAGUUGAGUUAAGGCACUGGGAAGCAACAGCGAUGGAACAAAGAGGAAGGAGUAUGGUUAUUUAUUCCCCCCUGGCUCCCUUGCUAUGGCACCAUUGCAGGCUGGCUGCAUCCCUCAACCAAAGGAAGCAGCCAGUAUCCCUCCCUAGGGUGACCCAGAGUAAACCCCUAUGGUUUCCCUUCACUUUGCACAUACCUUUGCAAAUUGUCUUUUUAUAAAACUCUACUCACAUUAUCCAGUAGGAAUGUAACAUCUCAUUCCUUCACAGAAUUGUUUUGAGAGUUAACAGAGAAUACUGUAUUAUUAUUAUUAGAAUGACCUAUAAUUUCUGUCCAAACUGAGAAACUUUGAGACUGGAAAAAGGGGGUUUGUGCUGAUAGUAACGAUGCCAGGACAAUAGGAAAAACAAGGACUUAUGGCCACCCCAGCUAUUAUUGCUAGUGAACUCUGCUUUAGACAUGUUAAGCAAUCAAGAAGUGGUCGUACUGUCACGCUUCUGUCACUAGACUAUGAAUGUCUCAAGGUAAGAGUGCUUUUUUGUCUAUUAGCUUCUGUCACAUGGUCUGGUAUAUUCAAUACAUUUUGAGUUGGAGAUGAGGGUAAAAA